UAUCAAAAUAUGUAUCUGUGGAAAACAUAUUUUCCUCAAAUAAAAAUAACGUUUACAUAAUUAGUUUAGAAAUAAUAGCUCUUUUGAAAACCUAACUGAACAUGAUUGUUGUUGACAAUCGGUCAGAUACCAAAAUAUCAAUAAUUCAAACUUAAGAAUAUUAUUGAAUAAAAACAGAUUUUGGAGUUCUUCAGUAAGAUUCAUUUCCUCUGAUGUUAUCGAAACAUUCUGGUCAUGAAGGUGUUUGGCAGGAGGAUUGUUUCUCUCUAUUUCAUUUAUUCUAUUCAAAGUUGUCAGUCGAUUUUCAGGAUACCCUCCAUUUGUGCUCGGGUUGAAAAAAAUUUCCUAAAAUAUUACAUUUUCAUUUUACAUCUAAACACAAAAGUCAUCAAUCAUGAACUCACGUAAUCCCCUGUAGAACUUUCCGAAUUUGUGUACCUACACUGGGAAAAUUUCAACUAAUUUUUUUGCGCACUCCAUUUUUGCGCUCUUGGGUACUGCACUCCCAUAUUUUUCGUAAAGCACAUUUGCAGUUAUGUCAACUAACUGUAUUCUGCUUCUGUCAGUCAACAGUUUAUUCUUCUGGUACUGGUCUAUUAUGUACUUGCCCGCCGCCACUAAUAAUUUGUGUUUGUAGAUCUUGCAGAUUUGAUUACUUCUGGAGCCAAAAUUAAUUUUCAUGCACUUCAUUGUUCAAAUUUCCACUAGAGGAACAAU